rnacentral:rRNA from 1 species
UACGUAGGGUGCAAGCGUUGUCCGGAAUUAUUGGGCGUAAAGAGCUCGUAGGCGGUUUGUCGCGUCGAAUGUGAAAACCCGGGGCUCAACCCCGGGCCUGCAUUCGAUACGGGCAGACUAGAGUUCGGUAGGGGAGUCUGGAAUUCCGGGUGUAGCGGUGGAAUGCGUAGAGAUCCGGAAGAACACCGGUGGCGAAGGCGGUUGGCUGGGCAGUUGCUGACACUGAGGCGCGACAGCGUGGGGAGCAAACAGG